CAAUAUUGACCAUUGGAUCUUGCUAAGAUUAAAUCUCAGCCUUUUAAACUCACAUUUUUAACUGCUGUAGUGGCAGUUCUCGUCAGUUUCUUAGGCUGGGAGGUUGCUCCGCCUUUUUCUGCCAUCUUCUCCACAAAUCACGUUUCCUGCCAUGGAUCGUGGGUUCAAUAAACUCCCAAUUAUAACCUCCUCCAUGAUAUACACUACGGUUAUGUCUCCAGAGUCGUAUUACCACUAUCUCCAAGCCCUACACCUUCAACUUUCCCUGAUCUCUUAUCAUCAGAAGAUCCAAUUAGGGUUUCUCCUCCCUCCUCGGGCUUUAAGACCAUGGAAACGGGAAGUUCCACCACCAGCACUGUCUAUAUCCAGUCGACACCGACGCCGCCUCCGUUCUACACCCUUUCGUCCCUUAACACACACUGGCGCCACAAAUUAAGGGGUGAUGAUGGCGUUUGGUGGUUCUUUGAAGACUCGAGUGGUGAUCUUUGGUGGCGGAAUCAGUAGCGGCUAGCCCACAACCAUCAUAGUGGGUAGACAACCAACCUAAAAAAUAUCAAAUUGAACAACAAAUCGGUAUCGGGAUCUGCCGUCAGGUCUUUCAGAGCGGGAAAGGAGGACAAUUGAGUUUCUUAAAUUUGUCGAGAAGACGACUCCUAUAGAUGUAUAUACUUCGGGGAAAGGUUCAUCUGCUGCUAGGCAGGCUUACGGCUUCAGGCAUUCGUGAUAAUAGCACUCGUGAGUACUAUUUGGAAGGAGGAGCCAUGGUGUUGGCUGAUGGUGGUGUUGUCUGCAUAGAUCAGUUUGACAAAAUGAGACCAGAAGGCAAG